AGCUUUGUGCAGUGGCAGUAUCGUAGCCAAUGAGGUUUAUCUGAGACGCGAUUAUUGCUAAUUGGAAAAAAGAAACAUAAAUCAAGUAGUCUCUUUAUCUAGUCACUAACAGGUUUCCCUUAGGG
ensembl:snRNA U4 U4 spliceosomal RNA